rnacentral:misc_RNA from 2 species
AACGCACAUUGCGCCCUUCGGUAUUCCGUUGGGCAUGCCUGUUCGAGCGUCAUUUAAACCUUCAAGCUUUGCUUGGUGUUGGGUGUUUGUUCCGCCUUAGUGCGUGGACUCGCCUUAAAUUCAUUGGCAGCCGGUAUGUUGGCUUUGAGCGCAGCACAUUGCGUAACAAAUCUAGCCUAUCUCCUUCCAUUAAGCCUCUUUUUACUUUGACCUCGGAUCAGGUAGGGAUACCCGCUGAACUUAA